UGAAGAUGGUACAGAAUAUAACGCCUGACUUCGCAACACAUCUAUUAGUUCCAGAAGUCUGAAGUUCAAGUGAAAAUCAAGUCGCUGCUUCGAACGGGUCAAGUGGCUAUCGCUGCAGUCCUCGAUCUUUGAAGCAUCAGAGAAGAGAGAUAGGGCGAGGAGGAGAGAAGAAAGCGAGGACAUCCUGGUCGCGGGGUCCUCGCCCUCGACGUUUCUGUGCUCGUGUACGUAAGCUGGUACGUGGGCCAGCCAGCUCCCGUCAUCGCUGCUCUCCGGGCCUGUGUACAGUCGACAAUUACACGGGUUACGUCAUCCCCCGGGUAGUCGCCUCCCGGACUCUCGGUACCCGCGUCUCUCACCUCUCGUCCGCAGCGCGCGACCGACACGCGAAACCCGGUUCUUCGACGCUCGGCGGCGUUUCUUUUCACGCGAUACAAUCACCCUGUGGAUGUAUCGCUCCGUUUUUUCGCACGUUCUUUGAUCCGAUGAAAGCUUUUACUGAAACGGAAGAAUUCAACGCCGGAGGCAGGUGCGAUAUCCGCAAUGCAAUGGAAGCUGGGAGGAAAAGAGCCGAAAAGCUCGACGUGCCUUUUGGUCGAUACUUUGACCACACUAAACGCUUGUUGAAAUUAUUCCGAAUGUGGGAAUUGGACGCCAACUCGUCGAAGUGGCAAAGCAUGUUGAUAGUUUCAAGCACGGCGGUGUUCCUGACGUGCAACUUCAUGCUCGGAUUUUCAGAGUUGAUGAAACUUCGGAUAGCUCCGGAUCUUGCGACUGCUGUAUCCUGUGCCAGUGCCUUGUGGCUUCACUUGAUCGGAUUUGUCAAGUGGAUCUACUUGGCAUGGAGAGUUCGGGAUGUCAUGCAGCUCGUUGGACUACUCGAGGAUUGCUAUCAUCUCAGCCUGGGAAAUAACGAAACGGACGAAGACUAUUCGCAACUUCGGAAGGAAAUGAAUGCCGCGCGGAAGAUUUCCGUGCGAUUCAGUUACGUCUGGGUCAUCGGCGUCACCUACGGGGUCAUUCACUGGUGCCUAAACCCGUUGUUCUUCAAGUGGAAACUGAGCAGAGUAGACGUCAGUUUGGCGAUGAGAGACAGAACUCUGCCGUACGAGAGCUGGAGUCCGUGGGAUCUGAAUCGGGUCGAAGUCUACGGAUACGUUUACCUGAUUGAAGUUUUGGGCGGUCUUGCUUCCAGCAUCGGAAGUGUCGCGUAUGAUAUAAUGUUCCUGACGUUGGUGAUAAUGAUAUGCGCCCAAUUGGGCUACCUAAAUUAUUCAUUGGUACACAAGCCGCAUAGCUAUCCAACCAUGACAUCUUCGGAGAAAAAGAAGCUGACGUGUGUCUUGCUUCGGAAUAAACUAGUCCGUAGCAAGAAUCAUCACGAUGCUAUUUUGGCAUUUUUGGCUGGCUUGCAAAAAGUCACCAGCCCAGUGAUGUUCGUUCAGUGUAUCGGAACCAUCGGCAUACUUUGUUUGGUCUCCUUCGAAGUAAUGACUAUGAAGCUGAAGGGGGACGUUGCAAGCGUGACAAAAAUUUGGAGUAUGGUGGAAUAUAUCAGCUCUUGCUUUGCUCAGCUAUUCUUUUUUUGUUACUACGCCGAUCAUAUGACGACAUUGGGACUGAAAAUCAGUGAUUCGACUUACAGCUCUGGUUGGGAAUCUGUGACUGACGAUGAAAAAAACUCUGCAUCUGACAGAAAAUCUAUCGGAUUUAUAGUGCGUGAAAUAAUGGUCAGAGCUCAACGGCACGUUCAAUUAACCGGUGGGCCUUUCUACGUUCUUUCGUUACGAACUUAUCGUGCAGUGGUCGGAGCUGCCUUUUCAUAUUCAGCAGUGCUCCGAGAAGUCGGCGCGGAAUAGAAAAAAGACGAAAAAAAAUUCGGAUCAUAAUCCAAGUUCGGAAAGUCUACUAGCGUAUAGGUCAUUAUAAACCCAAAGUAAACACGGCGUAAUAGACGUAGCGCCAGAUAUCAGAGUGUGAAUUAAGAAUGGCUACGCCGUACAUGUCGCUACUAUUGCAACAGAGCCAGUGAAAAUCGCCAGGGUGGGUCGAGCGUAGCGGCAAUAAGUGGAAGUCGAGAGUGGCUGGUCGGCCCGAAGCCAGCCCAACGGCAGCAGUGAUCGCAUGAGGAAAAGAUAGAGGUACAAACGCAAGCGCUCGUUCGUUUCAUAGCUUACGGAACGGCUUCUCGCGUGUACUGGUAUCCUGGUAAAAAGGCGACGCGCCGCAGAUGACUCGCGCACCCGGUGCGCACUUGGCGUGCGUGAUCACCUAUUUCGACGCACCCGGAUCUGCUCUGGCUUUGCCACGGCAUCGGCGCCUCGCGCAUCGACGCGACGGGGAACGAUCCAACCUCUAAUAUAACCGGUCCAACUCCAUCAGCGCAGGCAACCCAAUCCCCGAUAGAUGGAGUGAAGCGGUUACAACGAAGAGUCCGGAAUGGAACGUGCAGAAACGUGGAGCGUAGAUUAAUUGUCAAGUACUAAAGAUAGAAAAUCGCGCGUAUGUUACUACACAUUUCAUAAUUACCCAAGAUAUAGAUAUAGAUAGUCACGAUCGAAUACCGAGACGGAUUUUUCUCUAAGUACUCCGAAAUAAUCGAUUAUCCUAGAACAGUUCUGGGCUCUGGCAAGAGAACAUGAAGCAGGCGCAAAAUCGUGAUGACUUGUGAUUUAUUUUGUUACCCGAAUGGAAAGAUUCUCACAAUCAGACUCCCCCACGCGUCUGAAUCGCUGGUCGGCCGGCCGAGGGCCACCCACAACCGUGUACGAAACCCGCGCUUUGAUCAGGAGAGUAUGAGUCAAGAGGGGGUCGAGCUGAGCUCCAAUGCUUUGCUGAGCGCCUGAUACUUUGUAGGCGACUGCCGAAUGCACGUGGUUGUCUCUCGCCCGUUAUUGGCGCCUACUUACCCGGUCCAGUGUCAUCGUCACGCCUUUUCUCCAAGUAGAUCCUCAGUGAUGAGUAGAUUCUACGUUACAACUCAGUAUCGAAGUCGGGGUGGGGACCUACGGAUGUUUAAACGCGCUGCACAGCGCGACCCUAAGCAGAGGGACGAGACACAGCCAACCUUUGGGCUCCUCGAGCUUCCUAAUCUCCUGAUUCAGAAUCCGCGGGAUGCGGGCUCUCUAAGGCAGAGAUCGGUAUGCGUCACGUGUGAAUCACGUAGAAGUUCGCCCUCCACCAAAGCGUCUUCAGCGUCAUCUCCGUCGGCCCUGAGGCCUGGACUACGAGACGGUGUAUCAUUGACACCCGCAACGGAGCCACUCACCUGCCCAUCAAAAGACGCAAAGUCAUCCGCGCUGGCUAACCAAGUAUCGGGCAAUCAUGAGGACGCAGAGUAGCCGGAGUGAGGAUCGAGACGAGAGCAGCGUCGAUACCGCCUCCUGGCCGAUAUGUUCGCCUUGUGGGUCUUUGGCGAAAUGUGGACGCCUUUCGGGAACUGUUUUUCCCUCGAUACCCUUAACGGCUAAAUCCAACGUACCCGGGCGAGCGGGACUCUUACGGUCACGACGUUACCCACCUGAAUGAGGAUCUUGUAAUCUUUGACGAAAAGCACCGACCGCGAACGUACGGUGUAUGGGGAUAAGGGAAUCACGGUAUAUAUCUGGCGAGGCUGACACCUGUGCAUCUUCAUGUACUGAUUGGUACUUACUUACGUACUGGCUGACUUGCUCAAUUUCUCUUCACCAAUAUUUCAUCGGGUAUAGAUUAUCGCCCGAUUUAUCCCGCGGUAGCGAACAUCAGCCGAGUCCACUUGCCUAGAAAAAAGUCGUAAGAUGGCAGCAGCCUUCGAGGGUGAAACUCAGAUGGGUUGCAAUGGAAACGGGACGGCGUGCGGUCAAUGGACGGGCAGGAGGGAUCUGAAGAAAUGAAUUUUAUUUAACGACCGAU